GACAGAGGUUGCAAACGUUGUUCGGAAUCACUGGGCAUAAAGCGCACGUAGGCGGUCUGUUAAGUCAGGUGUGAAAGCCCCCGGCUCAACCGGGGAACAGCAUUUGAUACUGGCAGACUCGAGGAUGGUAGGGGUGAGUGGAACUCCAGGUGGAGCGGUGAAAUGCGUAGAUAUCUGGAGGAACACCGGUGGCGAAGGCGGCUGUCUGGGCCUGUCCUGACGCUGAGGCGCGAAAGCUGGGGGAGCGAACAGG
rnacentral:rRNA from 1 species